UACGGAGGGUGCGAGCGUUAAUCGGAAUUACUGGGCGUAAAGGGUGCGUAGGUGGAUUGAUAAGUUAUCUGUGAAAGCCCUGGGCUUAACCUGGGAAGGCCAGAUAAGACUGUUGAGCUAGAGUAUGGGAGAGGGUAGUGGAAUUUCCGGUGUAGCGGUGAAAUGCGUAGAGAUCGGAAGGAACACCAGUGGCGAAGGCGGCUACCUGGCCCGAUACUGACACUGAGGCACGAAAGCGUGGGGAGCAAACAGG
rnacentral:rRNA from 1 species